CACUUGCGCGUCUGUCUCUCUCUCGCAAUCUGUAGUUCCCUGAGGAGCCAUUUUCUCUCUCUUCUUCGUCUUCUUUCUCCACUCUCUCUCUCCUCUCGGAACUUUUUCUGCAGAUAUAUAUAUAAUAGUUCAUUUUCAAAGUUUUAAUUAUUUCUAUCGAUAUAUCUAUAUAUUCAUAGACAUUAGUAAAUCGCCAUGGCUUCGGAGAAUUACACCGACAAGAACACGAUUUUUCGGAAGCUCAAAGCCAAGUCCGAGAAUAAGAUGUGUUUUGAUUGCAACGCGAAGAACCCGACGUGGGCGUCCGUGACGUAUGGGAUCUUUCUCUGUAUUGAUUGUUCGGCGGUUCACCGGAGCCUCGGUGUUCACAUUAGCUUCGUUAGGUCGACCAAUCUAGAUUCUUGGUCUCCAGAGCAGUUGAAAAUGAUGUGCUUUGGUGGAAAUAACCGUGCUCAAGUUUUCUUUAAACAGCAUGGAUGGACUGAUGGGGGCAAGAUUGAGGCAAAGUAUACUUCUAGAGCUGCUGACUUGUAUAGACAAUUGCUUGCUAAAGAAGUUGCUAAAAGCGCUGCAGACGCUGGUUUGCCAUCAUCACCGGUUGCUUCUCAGUCGGUACAUGCUACUAAUGGUUUUCCUGAUAUUAAGACUGCUGAAGCUCCAAAUCAGAGUUCUUUUCUAAAAAAUGAAACUCCAGAGGUUUCUUCUUCACCCAAAGCUUCCCAGUCUGUUACUGCUACAACUGUUAAGAAGCCUCUAGUUGCUAAAAAACUGGAAAGACUGGGGGUCUAGGAGCUCGAAAACUUACUACAAAGCCAAACGAAAGUCUUUAUGACCAGAAACCUGAAGAAGUACCUGUUCAAGUUCCAUCAUCUGACUCCACAAGUAGCACGCCCAAAUCAUUUGCAUCUCGCUUUGAGUAUACUGAUAAUGUGCAACCAGCAGAAAUUAGUUCUGGUGGUGCCCGUGUUCUUAGCCAUGUAUCACCUCCAAAAUCUUCUAAUUUCUUUGCUGACUAUGGCAUGGAUAGUGGUUUCUCAAAGAAGACCAGCUCAACUUUGCCCAAAGUUCAAGUUGAAGAAACUGAUGAAGCAAGGAAGAAGUUUUCCAAUGCUAAAUCUAUCUCUUCUGCUCAGUUUUAUGGUGAUCAGAACAAAGUCAAUGACAUGGAAUCUUCAGUUUCUCUGCAGAAGUUCUCGGGUUCAAAUGCAAUCUCCAGUGCUGAUCUCUUUGGUCACCGUGGCAAUAAUUCAUCUGUUGAUGUCACAGCUAGUGAUCUGAUUGACCGGCUGUCUUUUCAGGCACAGCAAGAUUUCUCUUCCCUCAAGAUUAUUGCAGGAGAAACUGGGAAGAAGCUCAGCUCCCUUGCCUCCUCCUUGGUGUCGGAUCUUCAGGACAGAAUCCUCUGAGAGAGCUGCAUUUUGGAUGUACAAUCUAGAGGAUCUUGUUACAGAAUUGCAAAAGAAAUAUGUAGAUGUAAAAAGUUAAAUCUUUAAAAUUUUUACGGAAGACAAAUAAGAUUUUAAAAUUCCUAGGAUUAUGAGAUGACACCAUUAUUUUGUAGCUGCGGAAUGUAACCAUCAUGGUGUGUAUGUGGCCUUCUCUGGCUAUUUCAUAGAUUUUAUCCUUUGGACUGGCCUUGUGUAUUUUGUUCUGAAUGAUGAUGCAACACAAGUUUUUCCUUUGGGCUGGCCUUUAAUUUCUUUUUUUUUUUUUCCCUCAAUGAUGUAACCCAAAUGGGAUUUAAACCAUUUACCAAUUUAAGUUCUAUCGGCCCUUUUAC